AGGUUUUGUUACACAGUUCCGUUGGAAUUUUAUGCACCCUGGUGUGGUCACUGCAAAAACUUGGCUCCAAUCUUGCAUGAAGUUGCUGUUUCAUUUGAAAGUGAUGCUGAUGUUGUCAUUGCAAAGAUUGUUGCAGGUUCAUGUACUGUUCAUCUAUGGCUUCCAAAACUGAAGAGAUGCCACUGCAAUUGAUGUACCAAUUGAUAUUUUCGACGUGAAAGGUUAUCCAACAUUGUACUUCAGAUCAGCAGGUGGAAAUCUGUUGCAGUACAAUGGGAAACGUACCAAAGAGGAUACAAUUGACUUUAUUCAGAAGAAUCGGGAUAAACUUGCCCA